UGAUCGCCAAUCCAGCUUCUGACCCAGCUGCCAGCUACAACUCCCUCGAUGUUGCCUGCGGCUCCCCCCAAUAGCUCCAGAAGCCAUUCAUUCCUGGGCUAAGCUCUCCACCUCCCCUCAGGCCUCGGUCUCAUCCUCUCCAUCCUGUGGCGAUGGCUUUGCAAUGGGCCUUUGCUCCUCGGCCACCUAUCAUGGCCCUAUGCUGCGUGGCUUAGAGCCCGAUUCCGUUGGCGAUGAGAUCGUUGAUGUUCGACUUCGAUAUGAGGAAUCUGCUGCCUCCAAAACCCCCCAAUCAACAUGCUGGGGAGGCCUUCUCCUUGUCAGCUUAUCACUCUUUGAGAUGUUUGAAUUAGGCUGAGGCAAUGGAUAGCUAUUCAGAAUUAUGGGCAAGUCUUGUUGGUUAUUAUGUUAUUGUUUUAUAAGUAUAUUUUGUAUGUAAUGAAAUGUUGUCGAUGAACCGAAACUGAUAUACCUUGUAAAAGUGUUAAAAGAUCUCUUUUAUUUGGAAUUUUGGAAUGUUAAGUCUAGUUUACGAUGAUAUAGACUUGUGGAAAUGGUUGGAGUUAUUAUUGUAUAAAUUACAUAGCUUGUGGAUUUAUAAAUGUUGUUCAUGUUUGUUAAGUUGGCUGGGUUGCCAUAAAUAUGAAUUAUCGAGUGAUGUGAUAUAUGAUUAUAAACUGCACAUGUUUUAUAGAUAUGAAUUUGAUAGAAUGUUUUUCAGUGUCCUCAAAUGUUAGUUUGGAUCCUGUAUUAGUUUAUGAUGAAAAUUUUAAUAUUAUCGAUAUUUUUGAAGGGUGUGACACACAUGAGCGAGAAGGGGCUGCAAGCUCUUUCCAAGAGAAGUAUUGCCAGACCUCAGAGGUCUACUCGAUCAGGAUUAGACAGUUAACGCAGGAGGAAUUGACGUUGCGCCGGAGGAGAUCACGUCAGGAUAUUGGACGACAGAAGGCUUCGGACGUCGGGCAGCGGGCCAAGGAGAGCGGAAUUGCGCCAAGGAUAUUGGGGUUGCGGAGGUCAACCGCCGAUUGGGCAACAAGCCGCAAGAGAGGACGAUGCGCUGAAGAAUCGGACGAAGCGCCAACUAAUGACGUGCCGGGCAACGGAAUGUCGAUUCGCGUUGUAACAAUUGUCUAGAUCGGAGUAGAGUUUUAGUUUGUGUGUGCAGGAAUAACUAUGAUAAUGAGAAAGACAUAAAGCGAAACAAAGUGCAGAGUCAAGCACGAAGGAUUCAUUGGGAGUUCAAGAGUUCGACGGAAGUCCGAAGGUUCGUCGGGAAUGCUGCCGGAACUAGCCGAGAAUGAGUAGGGAGCUUGCCGAAAGGUUUUUUGGAAGCUCACCGAAAGGUUCGUGGGAAGUUCGCGGAGCUCGCUGAGAGAGAUCGGAGCUUGCCGAAGAAGCUCGUUGGAACUCGCCAAGAUCAAAUCGUGAAGUUUAAGAGCUUGCCGAGAGUCCGCAGAAUGGUUUCCGAGAGUUUAUCGGAAGACCGCCGAAAGUUCGCCGGAAGCUCGCCGGAAGAAGUCUUGACUUAUGGACUUUGUAAUAGCUUAUAAAAUGUCUUUAAAUUCAUAGUUAGCAUGUUAAUUAGGGUUAGGAUUAGGUAUUAAUCUUAUAACCCAAGUAGGGGCCAAUUGGGCCCGAGUUCGGACUAGUUUGGGGCAAGAUUGAAGCUAAACUAGUGGGCUGAAAACACUGUAGGCGGUGGCACUGCCUGGGCUGGGCGGUGGCACCACCCAGUGCCCGAGAGCUGGGCGGUGACACCUCCUGGGCUGGGCGGUUGCACCGUCCAGCACCCGAGCGCUGGGCGGUGGCACCGCUUGGCUGGGCGGUGCCAUCGCCAGCAUCGGGAACCCAAAGAGAAUUUAAAUUUUGGAGCC